rnacentral:rRNA from 1 species
CUACUACCGAUUGAAUGGCUUAGUGAGGUCUUCGGAUUGGCUUCAGGGAGCCGGAAACGGCUACCUCAGUUGCUGAGAAGUUGAUCAAACUCGGCCAUUUAGAGGAAGUACAAGUCGUAACAAGGUU